UGUUGAUAUGUAUCACAACACUGUUGUGCUGCUACAAUCUUAAGUCGAAAACACAUCAGUAGUGAUUCAUUAGAACUUUAUGUAAUCCACUAUACUUUGAGCAGGUAAUAUAUAUGAUGUGUAUUAUCUGGCUUUAGACUCACAUAUGAUAACAUUUUGUUUUAAGAGCUGUUAUAAUCUAUCAACAGGCAUUCUGGAGAACUCCUCAGAAACCCUUUCGACAGAGGUUUUAUAUGGUCAAACCUUGUUCCAAGGAGAUGAAAUGUGAUGUGGAGUUAAGUACAUAUGCUAUUAGAGACAUGGAAGAGUAUAAGAAUUUCUGUGAUCGACCAAAGGAUCAACGUCCACUUCCAGAAGAAGUGAUUCGGGUGAGUCUGCUCUAGCAUGAUAUAAUCUUCUGUAUGGAACAUCAAUCUUCAAUUCCUUUGAGUUAUGCUAGUUUCUUGAAUAGAAAAUUUAAGCUUUGUUAUUUCAGGAGCAUGCUGAAAUGUUAAUUUCUAUGAAGUGGUAUGGUAGAUUUAAAAUUAUAUCUAUGGUAUUGGAGCUGUAGGCCUUUUUGUGAUCAACAAAAGAAAAGAAAUUUCCACUUGGCUGAAAGUAAUCUGUUUAUCAUGAUUGUUUAGAGAUUUUACU